rnacentral:tRNA from 1 species
GUUUCUAGGGUGUAUUCAGCACAUUAGAUUUUCAUUCUAAAAGUAUAGACUAUUAAGUUCUAUUAGAAAUA